rnacentral:lncRNA from 7 species
GAGAUGGAAAUGACAGAGAAUAUUCUUAUUGAAGGAAUACUUGGCUGAAUGUGUCAUUAAGUUAUUUUAUCAAGCAUAGUAAUUACAAUAGAAAUACAAUGGCAAGUUACUCAAAGGCAUUCCACAGGAGGAGUCCUCAGGAAACCACUUCUUCAUGCCUUCUGCUGUUCCUGUGGAUGUCUGUUUUGUUCUCAUCCCUGCCUGCACCCAAACCAUCUCUGGUCUGCUCUGACCCUUCCCACCCACCUGAUCCUGGGCAUACCCUGCCCUGCUGUCCUCAACAUGGAGAAUCAGAACAGGAUGCUUUCCAUGCCAUGCACAGCCCAGGACCCAGCAGGAGCUCCACCACCCACCCAGCUCUUCUUCACACAUCUCCCAGGCACUAAGUGGAAAGGAGUAGAGGUAGACCAGAAGCAGCCAGCACACCCUGAGAGGAGGAGCUCCGAGGGACUUUGCAGCUCAGCUUCCAUUCUGCUCACCUGGUGUGCACCCUCUGCACUCCUAAGCAUGCAGAGAAGCAUAUUCUGAGUUCUGAUCGUUGAAAGAAGGAAAACUUUCUGCAACUUAGCUCAUAGAGCUUGCUGGAAUAACAUCCAACACAGGUGAAGGAAGACAGAGAAGGGUAGCCAGGGAGACACGUCCCCAAGAGCUUGCCAUUCCCAGGAGGAGAAUGACAUCUCAGUACCUGAGCAUCCCUGACCAAAGCACGCUCAUCUCUGGUUGAAGUGGAGCUCCGCAUGGUUGGGUUGGAUGCUCCAAGGUGAGAUGCAGGCAGCUUCCUGGACGUGUUCAGGCCCUGGCGCUCUGUGUGAGGAUGGUUCCCUGCUGGCAGUGCAGGAUGUGGCUUCAGCACACACCUGAGCAUGUCCCCUGAGGGGGGGGAGGGCUGUGCAAUUCAGUCCUGCAGUCAAUUGAUGCUGAGUGCGAGGCCAGCUGUGGGGUUGUAUGGAGAAGAUGGUGUAGUAUGGGGCAGCAGAGGUUCUGAAGUUAGUUACUUCAUGUUAGUCACACAUCUAAUCGCAUCGAUUAAAUUAUUAAAUUGCAUUAACGAU